rnacentral:rRNA from 1 species
GAGUUUGAUUAUGGCUCAGGAUGAACGCUAGCGAUAGGCUUAACACAUGCAAGUCGAGGGGCAUCACGGGAUUAGCUUGCUAAUCUUGGUGGCGACCGGCGUAAGGGUGCGUAACGCGUAUGCAACUUGCCUGUCAGUGGGGAAUAACCCGGAGAAAUCCGGACUAAUACCGCAUACACUUUGGUUUCCGCAUGGGGACUUUAGGAAAGAUUUAUUGCUGACAGAUAGGCAUGCGUUCUAUUAGAUAGUUGGUGAGGUAACGGCUCACCAAGUCAACGAUGGAUAGGGGAGCUGAGAGGCUUAUCCCCCACACUGGAACUGAGACACGGUCCAGACUCCUACGGGAGGCAGCAGUGAGGAAUAUUGGUCAAUGGGCGAGAGCCUGAACCAGCCAAGUCGCGUGAAGGAAGACGGUCCUAUGGAUUGUAAACUUCUUUAGUAGGUGAGUACAAGCAGUUACGUGUAGCUGU